GAUUCGCGGUGGCGGUGGCGGCGGGGCUGGAAGUUACCGAGUUGCGGUGUCGCAGAAAGGGGAAGCGAACGGAGCCAAAAUGCCCCCGGGGAGCGCGGCCCCGCUGGGGAGGCGGGCUGAGGAAGCCUGGCCCUGCCCCCCUCCGCCGCCCGCCGCGGCUCCCCCAGCCCCCGUAGCCAGGCUCCUCCCGGGCGCGGGGCUCCGGCGGCCCCGGGCUCCCUCAGCGCCCGGCGGGGCCUCGGGGCGCGGCGGGUUUGGCAUCUGCGCACACGCCGGACUGACGAAUCUUGUGGCUUCUAGGAGCGAUGGCAAGAGGAGUGUUGUCAACGCGAGGACAAGCGAGGGAUGGUGAUGCCUGCAACCUAUGGCUGAACUGGAGUUUUUCUAACAAUAACUGCUCCGUGUUCCAGCUUUAUUUUAAAUCCACACGUCACAUAAUUGAAGUGGCAAUGAAAUCAUAUUUACCAUUUAAUAAAGAUUUAAAACAU
rnacentral:lncRNA from 1 species